CCUACGGGUGGCAGCAGUGGGGAAUAUUGCACAAUGGGGGAAACCCUGAUGCAGCGACGCCGCGUGAGCGAUGAAGUAUUUCGGUAUGUAAAGCUCUGUCAGCAGGGAAGAAAAUGACGGUACCUGCCUAAGAAGCCCCGGCUAACUACGUCCCGGCAGCCGCGGUAAUACGUAGGGGGCAACAGUUAUCCGGAUUUACUGGUGGGAAGGGGAGCGUAGACGGUCCUGCAAGCCAGAUGUGAAAGCCCGGGGCUCAACCCCGGGACUGCCGCUGGAACUGUUAGGCUAGAGUGUCGGAGAGGCAGGCGGAAUUCCUAGUGUAGCGGUGAAAUGCGUAGAUAUUAGGAGGAACACCAGGGGCGAAGGCGGCCUGCUGGACGAUGACUGACGUUGAGGCUCGAAAGCGUGGGGAGCAAACAGGAUUAGAUACCCUGGUAGUC
rnacentral:rRNA from 1 species